GUUCUGUCCCACCGUCUCAGUGGGUGAACGCACCCCUCACGCUACUGAUCUUGGCAUUUGACUUGUUCUUUUUCCAGACAGUCCUAAGGUGAAUCAUUAACUAAUUUACUAGAUAUUUAACUGAUAUCUUAAUGUAGGUACUUUGCCCUUUAAACAUCUCUCUUAGGUCUGUUUACAUUGCAUCACACAGAUUUUCAAAACUCAUUUGAAAUCUCAGUUCUAACAGACCUUCUAUUACAUUAGACUUGGUGUUUCUUUCUUGACAAUUUCAAUGUGCUUUCUUUGUUUACUUACACAAUUCUGAGGGAAGAUUCUUUUUUAGUUUUUGUGUUACCCUACUUUCCACCUGUAUCUGAGUUGGCAUCUGUUCCAACAGAAAGCAACUUAUAGAGAUGUUGUGGAAUAUUAAGAUGUAUUACAUUCAUUUAUGUUGUAGAACAUUUAUUUUAAUGUUUCAAAGAUGUGUUGCAUUCGUUUAUGUUUAAUUUGUUUAAUUCUGUGAAGCUGUGAAACUUUGCCUGUCUAAAACACCUGAUGUUCUAAUAGAGAGCUAACCAGGCAAUAUUAAGGCAGGAAAAAAUGAUAGGCAUGGCUGGUAGGCAGAGAGAAUAAAUAGAAAGAGAACUCAUGGAAAAGAGAUGGAGGAGAAAGAAAGGAGAAUGACUUUGGGGUCUAGUCACCCGGCUACAUAGCAAGUCACAGAGUAAGGAAGAAAGAAAAGAUAUGCAAGAAAUAGGAAAAGGUAAAAGCCCAAUGAUAAAAGACGGAUGGGAUAAUUUUAUUUUUUGACUAGAAAAAAGCGAAGCUAAGGCUUACAUUUAUAAAAAAGAAUAAGUCUCCAUAUCUGAUUUAUUUGUGAGCUGUGAGGCAGACCCCCCAAAGAGCAAAGAAAAAAAAAGAGUAAAACAGCCAAUAACGUUUUGGCAUUCCAACACAGGGCUAGAAUAAAAGAAAAUCCAAUAGCAGAGAGAAAAGUUUUGGUUUUGCUUACAACUCCAGGUUACAGUUUAUCAUUGGAAAGUUUUGGUAGGAAAUUAAAGCACAACAUUUCACAGUCAAGAGCAGAGAGACAAUAUGUUUGCCCUGCUUUCUUGCUUGCAGGUAACUUUCUCUUCCCUACUUUUCUACACUAUGAUGAGUUGUGAAUCAUGCUGCCCACAUUGUGUUCCACAUUUCUACAUUAUUAAUGAACUAUAAGAACAACCUUUAAAAGACAUUCCCACAGAUCAAUAUAAUCUAGAAUAUUCCUCAUUCAAAUUCUCUUUCAAGAUAGUUUUAUGGUGUGUUAAGUUAACAUUAAAAGCUACGAAACACAAAAUCUCUUUUCUUAUCUAUGGGAUAUGAUAAUAAAAAUAUUUUCUAUACCUAUGAA